GACGAACGCUGGCGGCGUGCUUAACACAUGCAAGUCGAACGGAAAGGCCCUGCUUUUGUGGGGUGCUCGAGUGGCGAACGGGUGAGUAACACGUGAGUAACCUGCCCUUGACUUUGGGAUAACUUCAGGGAACUGGGGCUAAUACCGGAUAGGAGCUCCUGCUGCAUGGUGGGGGUUGGAAAGUUUCGGCGGUUGGGGAUGGACUCGCGGCUUAUCAGCUUGUUGGUGGGGUAGUGGCUUACCGAGGCUUUGACGGGUAGCCGGCCUGAGAGGGUGACCGGCCACAUUGGGACUGAGAUACGGCCCAGACUCCUACGGGAGGCAGCAGUGGGGAAUAUUGCACAAUGGGCGGAAGCCUGAUGCAGCAACGCCGCGUGCGGGAUGACGGCCUUCGGGUUGUAAACCGCUUUCGCCUGUGACGAAGCGUGAGUGACGGUAAUGGGUAAAGAAGCACCGGCUAACUACGUG
rnacentral:rRNA from 1 species